UACAGAGGGGGCCAGCGUUAUUCGGAAUCACUGGGCGUAAAGCGCGCGUAGGCGGUUUGUUAAGUGGGAUGUGAAAGCCCUGGGCUUAACCUGGGAAUUGCAUUUCAAACUGGCCGACUAGAGUACGUUAGAGGGAGGUAGAAUUUCCUGUGUAGCGGUGAAAUGCGUAGAUAUAGGAAGGAAUACCAGUGGCGAAGGCGGCCUCCUGGAUCGAUACUGACGCUGAGGCGCGAAAGCGUGGGGAGCAAACAGG
rnacentral:rRNA from 1 species